CGUGCGCAGUAGGAGGCGGGGCGUGUGGGCGGAGCCAUACCGCAGAGGCUCUGUCGGGAGCCAGGCAGAGUCCCUUCAGAAAAACAAGGUCCUUGUUUUCAAAAAUAACUGAGUCAAGAAAAGGAGAAAUCAGUUGCCUGUCUGAAGCCUAUCAACAAUCCAAACCCAGAGUUCUGCCAUGAAAGGAACAGCAACCAGCCAGCAUCUAAGGAUCGGGUCUUAGGAUUGGAGCUCAUGCCAAUAAGUACCACCGACAAUAAACAAGAAUGUGAUGUAGCCCUUGCUCACUGUGAGCUUUAUAGUCAGUCUACUGCCAGAGCCGUCCUUGAUUGUGAAAGAGGACACUGUCAUCAAGUACACCAUGGCCACACAGUAAGGAGGCAAUGUCACAGCAAACAGGAAG